GUAGCUGGGACUACAGGUGCCCGCCACCACACCCGGCUAAUAGAGACGGGGUUUCACCGUGUUAGCCAGGAUGGGGGGUUAAGGUUUUAACAUAUGAAUUUUGGGGAGACACAAACAUUCAGACCAUAGCCUUCUGCCCUGGCCCACCAAAAUUUAUGUCCUUCUCACAUGAAAAGUAUAUUGAUUUCAUUUCAAUAGUCCCAAAUGUCUUACUCAUUCUAGCAUCAACUUUAAAGUUUAAAUCCAAAGUCUCAUGUAACUAUCAAAUAAAACAGAUAUAAGUGAGACUCAAGGUAUUUGUCUCCAGCUAUGAACCUGUGAAAUCAAGCAAGUUAUGUGCACUCAAAAUACAAUGGGGGAGAUGGGUGGAGGAUAGACAUUCCCAUUCCGAAAGGGAGCAAUAGGAAGGAAAGAAGGGAUACCAGGUCCCAACCAAAUCCAAAACCCAACAGGGCAAACAACAUGAAAUCUCAAGGCUGGAGAAUACUCUCUGGCUGAUGCUCUGCCCUCUGGACACUGGGGUAGGGGUUGGGCCCUCAGAGCUCCAGGUGGCCCUGCCCCCAUAGCUUUGCUGGGCACUGCCUAUGUUCCAUCUCUCACAGGUUGUAGUUGGGUGCCUGUGGCUCUCUCAGGCUGGAAUUGCACGCUGGUGGGUCUAUGGUCUGGGAUCUUGGUGUUGGCCCACCCCCAUGGCUCUAUUAGGUAUUGCCCUGUUGGGGACUCUCUGUAGAGGUCCCACCCUUGCCAUAACUCUCUGUCUGGUCACAUAACUGAGGCUCCUAGUGGCUCCAUUCUUCAGGAUCUAGGUGAAGGUAGCCAUGCCCCCACAGCUCAUGCACAUUGACAGGAAUGGCACUUCAUGGAGCUGCCAAGGUUUAUCACCUGUGCCCUGCAGAGGGGUGGCCACCUUAGCUUGUGUUGUACCUAGGCCCACUAGAGCCAUACGUGGGGUGGCCAACGAGUACUCUGCUAAAGUGCGGGGAGUGGAGCCUUGAAAUCUUUCUGUCCCCCAAGCCCUUGCACUCUGGGCCUGUGGUGGGAGGGGCAAUUCUGAUAAUCUCCAAAAUAUUUUUGGGGACAGCCUUCCAUUGCCUUCAUCAAUAGCACCUGGCUUCCCUUGAGAUGGCCUAUCCGUACCAAUCCCUUUCUCAAAUCACUGUGGGGCCACAUUCUUGGUGUUUUCUAUGAACACACUUUCACAUUCUUUUCAAAAUGGAUAGGUUGAGAAUUUUCCAAAAUUUUAAAUUCUGCUUCCCUUUUGAUUAGCAAUUCUAUCUUCAGAUCAUCUCUCUCUUCUCAAAUGUUACUAUAAGCACUCAAGAGAAGCCAAGCUGCACCUUCAACACUGCUUAGAAAUUUACUCAUUCAAAUAUCCCAUUACAUCAUUUACAAAUUCUACCUUCCACAAAACACCAUGACACAAACUUAAUGCAGCCAAGUUCUUUACUACUUUCUAAUAAGUAUUGUUUUUCCUCUAGUUUUCAGUAAAACAUUCCUCAUUUCUGAGACCUUACCAGAAUGGCUUUUACCAUCCAUAUUUCUACCAAUAGCCUGUUCAUGACCACUUAGGUAACCUCUAAGAAGAUUGAGGCUUUCUCUACAACUCUCCACACCAGAACUGCUCUUAACAGUCCAUUCAUGGCAAUGGUUAGGCUUUUUCUAGGAUGCACUUCCAAACUCUUUCAGCCUCUACCCAUUAUCUAGUUCCAAAGCCACUUCCACAUUUUAGGUAUUUGUUACAGUAGCAUCCCACUCCUGGUACUAAUUUUCUGUUUUAGUCCAUUCAGGUUGCUAUAACAAAAUGCUAUAGACUAGGUAGCUCAUAAACCACAGAAUUUAUUUCACAAUCCUGGAGGCUAGGAAGUCCACAAUUAAGACACUGGCAGAUUUGGUGUCUGGUGAGGGAAUGCUUUCUUGUUCAUAGAUGGUACCUUCUCGGUGUGUUCUCACAUGGUCAAAGGGCAAGACAGCACUCUGAGGUCUCUUUUAUAUGGUCACUAAUCACCUCACCAAGGCCCCACCACCUAAUGCCAUCAUCUUGGGCACUGGGAAUUUAACAUAUGGGUUCUGGGGGUAGGAGGACACAAACAUUUACACCAAAGCUGACUCCUUCUCAGCAAUCAUCCAGUCCUUUUAAAUUGGGACACUAACCUUUUUCUUGCCAGCAAUCAUUUUAAAAAAUCAAUUUAAAAUAAUAAAAAUUAUAGUAAAUACCAUAAUAGCAGAGAAGGAUAUGUAAAAAUUAAAAAUGUUCUACCCAUCACCCUUUUCCUUUGCCUCAUCUUAUUCCCCAAGGAACCACUCUUAACAAUUUCUUAUUUAUCCCUAAGAUAUUUCUAUGUAUAUAGACAAGCACGUAUAGCUACAAGUCACUAUAUGUGCUUUGUAAAAAAUAUAUACAAAUGGGAUCAUAUCAUAACAAUAAUGUAACCGUGUUAUUUUGCAGCUUGCUUUUUUCACUUAAUGUCAGUGUGUGUGUGUGUGUGUGUGUGAGUGUGCGCGCUGAGGGUAGAUGUGACAAAAUGUAGCCCUUGA
rnacentral:lncRNA from 1 species